rnacentral:lncRNA from 1 species
GUAACUUUAUAUGCAUGCAAAUGACUCUGAGCCACCUCUAAUCCUGCCAUUGCUCUUACCCAGGCUGAUAUCACCACGAAAGCCCUGGACUCUAUGCUAUGCUCCACCCCGUUGCUGUUGCCAUUAACCAUUACCAUCUACAGCACAAUUAUUCCAGGUGUCUAGACAUGGCAGUCUCCAGAGCUCAGCCCCACCCUUUGAACCUAGUCCGUGAUCUGUCUACGCAGAUAGUUAAACAAAGGAAUUCACAUCAACAAAUUAGUUUUGAAAUCAACAAACAGAACCUGGUUUCUCCUAGUACAGCUUCCCAACAGGAGUGGGUGGAAAUUGUCCUGCAAAUCAAAAUAUAUUCCUGCUCCGGUGCACGCUAAAGGCAUAGCCGUCUUUCAUUUAUCAAGUCAAGAAUAAUGUUUUGUCAUACAACUGGAAACAGGCUUGUUUAAAGUUGUCUGUGAGUCCAGAUAAACUCUGUUACUCCUCUCAUAGAUGCUCCUGAAGGACUAUGGGCUACAAUGGGGAAGAGCCUGUGCCCCUGGGGACAUGG